rnacentral:lncRNA from 1 species
UGUAGAUAGGACAGGACUCGCACCAGAACUCCUCGGGGGCUGUGGAAUUGUCAUGUUGCCACUAUGGGAGCUUCCACUGCAUGGAUCAGGGGGUUUCCUAGAUGGAUGGCCUGCCAAGCAGCACGAGACCUGGUUAACUAAGAUACAAGAAUAAAAUAAAUUGCAUCAGUGUACAAGGGGUGUAAACCAAUACUCUUAACCUUUAAGCUUUGAUGUCAUCACCUGUUUGACAGAAGGCUGCAGAUGUCUUUCAGCCCCGAAUCCCCAUGUCAUGCUCUAAGGAACAUGCAGAGAUGGUAAGGAUGCCAGAUUUUUUUUUUUUUGGGUGGGGGGUUAGGUAAUCUGAAAUCUAUAAGCAACACGAAUUUUUUCUUUCUAUCCAUUAAGUUUCCCCAUCAUUAUUUCUAUUGGUUAAAAACCUCUGCUCCUCUCAAAUUGAAACUUUCUGCUUCUAGAAUGUUUGUUUCCCUUGGGCAUUUUGGCUGGUUCUGUAAUGGUUUCGUUGUCGUCUGCUCUCCAGGGUGUCUGUCUGCUAUCGGGGCCAGCGUGGCCAGCUUUGGAACUCAUUGUUUGUCCUGUGUUCACAGCACUAACAUUUGCUGUUUCUUUCUUUCUUAUUAAAACUCUUAAUGUUUUGCAUUAUCUCCCCCAGGAUCCAGACAGAGCUUCCUCAUACUGGAAUGUUCCAGCCCUGCUAUGGUUUCCAACUUUCUCACAGAUGAUUGAGUCUCAGCUCGGCGUGAAUGCCAAGGUUAAAUCUGUUGUGCCUUUGGGGAAAACAAUGAAAGCAAACCCCAAAUACAGAUUACAGUUUACCUUGGUAUUCAAGUUUUGUUGGGCUGUAAUACUACUGUACUUUGGUUCUAUCUAAACCAUGCUUCUUUUAAAAGUUGUUUCUUUUAUCUCUGUGAGACU